GACGAACGCUGGCGGCGUGCCUCAAACAUGCAAGUCGAGCGAGGGGAAUCCAAACCGCAAGGGGAGGAUGAACCUAGCGGCGAACGGGUGAGUAACACGUGGGCAACCUGCCCUUAAGACUGGGAUAACGGCUCGAAAGGGCCGCUAAUACCGGAUAAUGUCGUAAUGUCGCAUGACGUUGCGAAGAAAGGGGAAACCCGCUUUUGGAUGGACUCGCGUCCCAUCAGCUAGUUGGUAGGGUAAUGGCCUACCAAGGCGACGACGGGUAGCCGGUCUGAGAGGAUGAACGGCCACACUGGGACUGAGAUACGGCCCAGACUCCUACGGGAGGCAGCAGUUGGGAAUAUUAGGCAAUGGACGAAAGUCUGACCUAGCGACGCCGCGUGAGGGAAGAAGGCCUUGGGUCGUAAACCUCUGUCAUUGGGGACGAAGAAAGUGACGGUACCCAAGGAGGAAGCCCCUGCUAACUACGUG
rnacentral:rRNA from 1 species